AUAGAGCACUUCCUUGGACUUCUAGAAAUGAUAUGACGCUGCGUUUUGCAAUGGCUGUCGAGUUGCCAAUCUUCUUGAAUGAUAAAAGGUUGCUAUCCACACAAGUAAAAGCACCUGCCCAAGCAAGGCAAAUGGUUCUCAGCCAAAGCCAAAGGUUGCUGGUGUUGAUUGGAAUUUUAACAGUUGGGGAGGUACGCUUUAUAGUUAUGCAAAGCUGAUGUCUAUAUUGAAGUUGUACAGUUUUCUAUAGUCAUACAACACAAUACAAAACACAAAUGAAAACACAAAUGAAAAAUCUAUGAUUUUGCCACUAAACUAUAUAAGAGUAUCAAUGAUAUGGGCCAUUAAAAUUUGUGUGCUGAGUUCUAUCUUUAAAACUAUUGAUGAUAUAAGAGUAUUGAUGAUAUAGUUUUACAGGAAUUUACAUAUAUAGAAUGUGCUAUCUAGCAACAGGAGUCUAGUGCUUUUCGUUGCCCAUAGUUGAUUAGGUUGGCAGCAAUUUACCCCAAAGGCAGUUUCUUAACACCUUUUGUGGCUUUCUUUCUUACUUUUUUUUUUCCCUAAUGAGAUGGACUAGAUAUUGGAUCCAACUAUUACCUUGUUACUGUAGUUUUCUUUACCUUUUUCUAUCAUUCAAAUGGUUCAUUGCGUAAAUGGCUUUGAUUGCAGCUUGAC